CGCGGAGCCCCCUCUUCCCGUGCACAGUGCGGGGCGAGGCUUGGCGAGCGGUGGGUCUGCGCCUUCCCAAGAAGAGACUGGGGCAGCAUGAAUGUGCUGGAAGAUUAGAGGCUGCUGAUGCUGAAGGAAGGAGAAACGAGGAGGAAGUGUCCCUGUGGACAAGUCAUCUCCCUUCAUUUAAGCCAGGCCAGUAGUCCGGGAGACAUUCUGAAUGAUGCAUUAUCCUAGGCACCAGAAAGUAUCUAACAUUCUCAUGGACAGCAGGGAAAAAUGAGCACAUGAGACAGGGGAAGAUUCCAGCACCUGUGAACAUGUUUGUGCAGGUUUCCAGUCAGUACAUGGAUAUCCCUCAAGCCUUUGAAUCCAGUCUCCUGUGUUGUGAUUGGACCGUUUGUCAUUAGGUUUCCAGUGGCAGAGUAAUGCUGUGGGAGAACUGGCUACGAUGGCCGCAGGAGGUGAAUUAAGUAUUGUUGUGUUUUUAGUAGAACCACUAAAGGAAGAUCUGCAGGCAAGUUGGAUGAGUAUAAGAGCCAAAGAUUGACAAGACUUCCUCAGAUGCUCCUACUGACCAGUGGGGGCACUUCUACAGCUCCCCGAAUAUGUUCUCCCUGCAACCCCCACCACUUUUUAAUUAAAUGGCCAGAACUGCCUUUUUGUAUCAAAACUUAUUUUAGUCUAUCAAUCAAAGGCUUCUAUAGCCCACCUCAUGGCAAAGGAUAUCAGAGAGGUAAAAGAUAAUUGUUUUGACAUAUUUAUUAUCACAACUAGCGACUCUUUCUGCAUUCACAUUGGCUGGUAUGCAGAAAAGGGUGCUUUACAGGAUUCUUGGAAAUGUGUAGUGGAUGCUGGCUCUAGGGGAGGCAGAAUAGAGUGUGGGUUCUGCCAUGGGUCACAUCCGGGUUUUAAUUCUGCCUCUGCCACAUGACCUUGAGCACACUGGAAAACCCUAUUAGAUGUGCAAGAAGGCUUCCCCAUCUGUAAAGGUGGGUGACUUAGCAACUUUAGCAAUGCUUAAGUCACCCGGUUGUUGUGAGUAAUACAUAAGUUAAUGUAUGCUAACUUUCUAGAAAGUUUCCUGGCACAAAGUUGUAUUUAAUAAAUGAUUUUUAAA
rnacentral:lncRNA from 1 species